AUGGUCUUAAAGAAGGAAAAAGACUGAAUCCAUCAGCCUGAACUGUACAGAAGCAAGAGAUCAGAGACUGCAGCAAAAACAACGACUCAUCGUUUCUCCUAAUGAAUACGACAGCCUGUGAAAAUCAUACUGAUUCUACCAGAUGUUACACAGCUGUCCCUGCCAAUGGAGACAUCAGCCCCAUGGGCUCUGGAUAACGCGUCCUGAUAUGAAGAGUUCAACCCAUAAUUACAGGUUGUUCAACAUCACAUUUGAAGAGGAUAAAAGAGGGUCUCAGGUAUGAAGAACUGGACGGCACCAGGUCCUGACAUGAUCCAUGUCUACUGGUUGAAGAAGCUGAUCUCACUCCAUGAGGUGCAAGCUACUGGAGGAUGGAAACCACCCUGAAUGGUUACCAGAAGACCUGAAGGACUCCAAGAAGGGAGCAGUCCCAUCCAAGUACCGCCCAAUAAGCAGCAUCUGCACAACAUGGAAGCUUCUGUCAGGACUCCCAGCAGCUAAGAUGAGCAGGCACAUGGAUCAAUACAUGAGCAGUGCCAACACAGGAACUGGUAGUAACACCAGGCACAUUGAGGACCUUGCCUAAGGGCCCAUACGGGAUUUUCGCCCUGACCGUGGUAUAUACAUAGACAUACAUUUACAUAUAUAGAUAUACGUAUAUAUGAGAGUGGGUCAUCCACAUCUCGGGUCCAGGUUUCCAGAUAUCUGUUCUCUUUCUGUUAUCUUUUCUCAUCAUGUGGAAGCAGCUUCUCUGACUCCUCACUUAAAUUUUCCAAAACACAGAAGCGGUUAUGAGACAUGAAUGAUGGUGGAGCUGAGAAGAUUUGUCUGUGUGAGGACCUGACUGCAGUUUUAGGAGGUAGAGACUGGCUUCUUGUACGAUGAACCUUGUUAUCUGAAGAGGAGGAUGAAGAUGAAGCAGAUUCAUCGAUUCUAUCAUACAUCAAAGGAGCAGGGGAGCUUUUGCUGUGGCUGCUUGAUUUGACCCGAGGCUCCACUGGUGUCUUUUGCCUCAGGACCCCAGCUUUUGAGUCUUUCCUUGCUCUGGCUUCUUGUGCUGAGUGCUUGCUGUGGGCUGAGGCUGGUGGCUCUGCACUGCUGACCUGAGGGCGCUGGUCCAGGGGGAGGCUAGCAGGCUUUGACAUGUUUGGAGAGGAUGUGGAGGGACCAGCGCUGAUCGUAGGCUGAUCCUGCUGCAGGACAGGACUGCGUCUAGAUCCGAGUUCAUCCACUUGUGCUGUCAGUCGGCGAAUUGUCUCCUCUUUCUCAAUGAGUUGGUUCUGCAGCUCCUGGACUUGUGUCUGAA